CGGCACCCAGGACGACACACAGGCUUCCCAUUGUCUGCCACACAGCAGGUCUCGGCCACGGCCCAGGUUGCACCCGUGUGAGGUUGAUGUUGGACCGUAUUUACAUUCAGUGUUUGGGGCUGACCGGGAAGAAAUCUGAAAGUGGAAGAGAAGGGAAGGCACCGGUAACCUCGUCUUCCCAAGAGGAGGUCAGAGGGACUGAUCUCUGCUUACUGCAGCCUCC
rnacentral:lncRNA from 1 species